rnacentral:rRNA from 1 species
GACGAACGCUGGCGGCGUGCUUAACACAUGCAAGUCGAACGGAAAGGCCCUGCUUUUGUGGGGUGCUCGAGUUGCGAACGGGUGAGUAACACGUGAGUAACCUGCCCUUGACUUUGGGAUAACUUCAGGAAACUGGGGCUAAUACCGGAUAGGAGCUCCUGCUGCAUGGUGGGGGUUGGAAAGUUUCGGCGGUUGGGGAUGGACUCGCGGCGUAUCAGCUUGUUGGUGGGGUAGUGGCUUACCAAGGCUUUGACGGGUAGCCGGCCUGAGAGGGUGACCGGACACAUUGGGACGGAGAUGCGGCACAGACUCCUACGGGACGCAGCAGUGGGGAAUAGUACACAAUGGGCGGAAGCCUGAUGCAGCAACGCCGCGUGCGGGAUGACGGCCUUCGGGUUGUAAUCCGCUUUCGCCUGUGACGAAGCGUGAGUGACGGUAAUGGGUAAAGAAGCACCGGCUAACUACGUG